rnacentral:rRNA from 1 species
CCUACGGGCGGCAGCAGUGAGGAAUAUUGGUCAAUGGCCGGAAGGCUGAACCAGCCAAGCCGCGUGAAGGACGAAGGUGCCAAGCAUUGUAAACUUCUUUUGUCAAGGGACAAAAUCAGGCUCGAGAGCCUGACCGAGGGUACUUGAAGAAAAAGCACCGGCUAACUCCGUGCCAGCAGCCGCGGUAAUACGGAGGAUGCGGUCGUUAUCCGGAUUUAGUGGGGUGAAGGGGUGCGUAGGCGGACUGUUAAGUCACCGGUAAAAGCCCGGGGCUCAACCCCGGCGAGCCGUUGAAACUGGCUGGCGUGAGAUGUCGAGGGGUAUGCGGAAUGCGCAGUGUAGCGGUGAAAUGCUUAGAUAUUGCGCAGAACUCCGAUUGCGAAGGCGGCAUACCGGCGGCGAUCUGACGCUGAGGCACGAAAGCGUGGGUAUCGAACAGGAUUAGAUACCCUUGUAGUC